rnacentral:lncRNA from 10 species
UGGCGGGGCGGGGCGCGGAGGCGAACCAAAAUACACCGCGCCCCUGCCGGGGCGGGGCCGGCCACCACCAGCCAAUUCGUGCCCGGCCGGCCAAUGAGCGCCGCGGGGGGCCGCGUGAUCGGAGCCUGGCCGCGGCGUGAUCGGGCAGGGCGGGACGCGGCACGUGUUUUGGUCGGAGCGAGGGGCGGGGCCUGAGGCCCUGGAAGGAAUGCGUCCUUGACCGGAGAGGUCGGAAAGCUGGCCGGUUCUAGGUGACAUUCCUGCAUCCGGUCAUUUUUGCAGACAGCGGGAGUCAGAGCUUAUUGGCCUGAGUGUCCCGCUGACGCCCCUCCUCUGGCGUCUCUGGGCCUCUUCCGCUCUGUUACGGGGUCAGGGGAAGCCGAAACGGGCAGUCACCCAGAAGGCGCCCGCUGAAACCCGCCCAUUCUUCCCAGGCCCCGAGAAAACGCCGCCCCCUCCGGGAAGUCCUCGAGCCUGCAGGAGACAUCUAGCCCGCUGUCCAGGGCACCUUUUUUUUUCUCCCUAUAUUUCGGUUGCUCGCGUCUCUUGGUGUGGUUUGCCCACGUCUGCAGCGCCAGGUUCGUGGAGAGCAGGAACCAUGCUGUUUAUUUUCGUCGCCGCAGCCUUCAGCUCAGCGAGGAGCCACCCCUCCUCCGUCUGUUCACUGCGCGCGCCUUUGCUGAGCUGUGAUGCGGGUUGGCGCUCAGUGCAAGGGGCAGAGGCCGCAGUGAGGAAUCCUCCUUUUUUAAAAGCUCCAUCCAGGGAGCGGGAGCAGAGAGAGAAUCCCGGCACCCCGGGGCUUUGCUCUGAGCGAGAGAAUUCUGGUCUUAGGGGAACGGGCUGGGCCCCACCACUCACAUGAGCAGGACUCUGGUCCCCACUUGUUCCUUCGGGGCCCACUCGGGUUGGGCAGAGGGGUUGACCAGGCUGAGGAGAGGGUGUUUGCUGAAAUAGUAAGAGGGUUUAAGACGAAAGAACCGUGAUAAACUGCUCGCAUGAAGACCCCGGAGGCUCUGAGAGGGGCGCAGGGUGUUCUGUGUGUAAAAAGUUAAGUCUUAAGAUACACACUGGAAUAUUCUCUUUUGCCUGGACUCCUGCAUUCGCCUUAUAACUGGUCUCCCUGCGUCCACUCCAGCUCCCAGAGCCUCUUCCCACUCAGCACCCCCAGGGGUCUUUAACCCUUUCAGUGGCUCCCACUGUACUCAGCGUAACGCUUCUGCUCCCCACUGUGGCUUGUGAGCUCCUGCAGGGACCCAGCCCCAUGCCUCUCCCCACGCCCCGGAGGGACAGCCUGGGCCUCCUCUUGGGCGCCUGUCCCACCAGCCCCUCUGCCGUCUCCAGGUCCUCGCACUUGCUGUUCCCUAGAAUGCUUUUCCCCCACAUGCCCCCUUUACUCUCACCCGCAGUCCACCUGGAGAGGCCCCCUCUAGCGGACACACCCUCGGGGCCGACCUCCAGUCCCCUUCUGGCGGGCUUUCUUGUUUUCUUCCUCCACAACACUUUUCUUGAACUGCCCCUUUUCCAUUACUUCAGUUAUUUAUCAUCUGUCUCCCCACCAGAAGGACUCUCCCAAGGCCAGGGAGCCUGGCUGUUUAAUAAGUCCACGUAGGUGAACGAGCGAAUCGAAGGUAUCCACCAGCCUCCCUGCUUGAACAUCCCGUGAGCACCUCUAAUUGUGUCCUUAAAAAAACUGAACUCAGGGCCGGGCGCGGUGGCUCACGCCUGUAAUCCCAGCACUUUGGGAGGCCGAGGCGGGCGGAUCACCUGAGGUCAGGAGUUGAAGACCAGCCCGGCCAACAUGAUGAAACCCCGUCUCUUCUAAAAAUACAAAAAUUAGCCUGGCACGGUGGCAGGCGCCUGUAAUCCCAGCUACUCAGGAGACUAAGGCAGGAGAAUCGCUUGAACCCAGGAGGCAGAGAUUGCAGUGAGCCGAGAUCGCACCACUGCACUCCAGCCUGGGCGUCAGAGACUCAGUCUCAAAAAAACAAACAAAAAACUGAACUCGGAUUCCAGCCAAAUCUGGAUUUCUCACCUCCGUGAAGGGUACAACUGGAGACCCUGUUCCUUGAUCUAGAAACCUGAGCGUCACCUUUACCUCCUCCCUUUCGCACAGUUGCUGUCUUCCGCCAAUUACAUGCCCUUCUUCCUUCUCAGUUCCUCUCAAACUCUUAUGUCACCCACGCCAGCCCUUGUCCUGGCCACCACCUGCUCACCUGAAUUGUUGCCACUGCCUCCCAACAGGUCUCCCUCCCUCCAGCCAGACGCCCUACAAUCUGCCCUCACCUCACUGCCAGAAUGAUCUUCUGGAAGCAGAGGUGGAGCUGAACCUGUAUUCAAGCCGUCAGUUGGAAUCCAAACAGUUAUAGGACUGACUUCAGGCUCCAUGGCCAGGAACCCAUGAGUCUUUGUAGCCAGGCUCCAGCCAGCACUUCCUGCAUCAUUUCUGACCAGUUUCCCAAAUUGCUUUCCCUGCUGCCUUCCUGCCCCCACUGACCCAAUACAGAACCCUGUACUCUCAAGGUCACGCCACUCUCUUCUGUUUCUAGACAGCAUUCCUUCUGCGUGGAACAUGCCAACCCUCGUCUGCUUUGACUUUGCAAAACUGCAUGAGACCGCCGGGCGCGGUGGCUCACGCCUGUAAUCCCAGCACUUCAAGAGGCCGAGGCAGACAGAUCACCUGAGGUCAGGAGUUUGAGGCCAGCCUGGCCAGCAUGGUGAAACCCCGUCUCUACUAAAAAUACAAAAAAUCAGCCAGUAAUCCUAGCUACUCGGGAGGCUGAGGCAGGAGAAUCGCUUGAACCCAGGAAGCAGAGGUUGCAGUGAGCCGAGGUCAUGCCAUUGCACUCCAGCCUGGGCUACAAGAGUGAAACUCCGUCUCAAAAAAGAAAAAAAAAAAGAAAAAAAGACUGCAUAUGACUCCCCAGUGAAGCCCUCCCUGAUUGGCCUCUGCAGAAGGCAGCAUGCCCGGGCUUUGGAGUCAGACCUGCAUACAAAUCCUUGUUUUGCCGGUGUGACCUUGCCAAGUCUUCUUUCCUGCAGGACAGAAGGCGGCAGCAGCUCUCCCUGAACUGGCACUCUGGCUUCUCUUGCCCCAGGGUCUGUUUCUGCUCCUUGGACAGCAGGCGCAUGUGGGAACUGUGCCCUCUUCAGCCAUGAGCCCCUGUUCUGCGCACAUCUAGCCCAUCUUCCAGAUGGACAGACAGUCUGUGGUCGUCGCCAAACCCCUGAAUCUGGCCCUGCCCGCAGUCAGAGGGAUGGCAAUUUGUAAGCUACAGACUAUUGCGAAUCAUUCACUUGGAGACUGAACUAAGACUACUGGCACCAGGCUCCGUAGACCCUCGGGAAGAGCAUGGUCUGGCAGGCAGACUGGAUGUGGCCACAGAUAACAUCCCCUAAGGGGAGAGCGUGAGCCUGCAGGCCAGAAUGCCACCACUUUCUCCUGUGUCGUUCCAGAGAGAGCCUGUGGCUAUGCACGCUUGCUGCUACAGAGGGUAGUGCUGUAUACCUCCUGGGCUCACUUACUGACUUUUCAGUCUAAGGGCUUAUUGCAAUUGGUACAUAACGAUCAUACUUUGUAAUGGUUAAGUAAUAUUCCAUCAUAUGGAUGUGUUGUUUAUUUAACAUUCUGGUUGAAUAACCAAGACUUUUAGGUUUCCAGUUUUCCAGGAACAUCAUGCCCCUCCAUCAUUUGCCCACCUGGAAGGAUAACUACAGGAUAAGCAGCUCUUAGAACUGGAAUUGCUGAGUUAACUGCUCUGUGCAUUUCCUUGCUUUUUCUUGCUUUUCUUUUCUUUCUUUUAUUAUUUUUUUGGGUAAAUUUUUAUUGAACUAUAGCAUAGCGUAGAUACAGGAAAGUGUAAAAACUUAAAUGUACAAUUCAAUGAAUUUUCGCUAGGCAAACACUGUGUCACCAGCACCCAGAUUUAGAAACAGAAUAUUACCAGAAUCCCAAAAGCCCCAUGAGCUGCCGUCCAGUCACUACUUACCGUUUCCCUGAUCCCCUGCAUAGGAUAAUCCUUAUCAUGGCUUCUGACACUUUCGGUUGGUUUUGGAUGUACUGACACUUUUUGUGUGUGUGUGACACUUUUAUAAUACAAAGAAAAUCAUACAGUAUGUUC